CAAGCACAGACUAGGCCUGCAGGCCCACGUGCUUGGAUCCUGCUUAGUCAGUAGCAGAUGGGUCAGUGGACUUCCCGGAGGUGACUAUGAUCCUGGAGCCUCCUCAUUGAGCGGGAUGCCCUGAAGCCCGGCUCUCCUUUGACUGAACGACUCAUCCGAAAGGCAUCAUCCUUGCAUCUCAUGGAGUAAAACCUUACUUGGGGGAACUGGCUUUCUUCCCCCUUCCCGAAGAGUCCCAGUCUCACAGAUGUCCAUUUGAAGGAAGCCACAAUGCCCAGCUGAACCAGAAGCCAAAUUCUAGCUCCUGGCCCCUAGAAAAGGAAAUCUCCACAGAGGUCACGAGCUCCUUCACCAUCCUCCGCCUGCUACCACACUUCCAUUUAAGAAGGGACACUCACAUCUUCAGUGUCAGAGAACGGGUCUUCUCCUUUGUGAAUUAUCUGCUGUGAUUUGUAAGCACCCAGCCCCAUCUUGUCUAGAGAAGGGUGGCCUCUGGGCUCCAGGAGAGUCUGCAUCAUCCUGGGAGGCCCCAUUCUGGCAUCUUCAGGUUAGGCCCAUGGUGACCAGAGGAGAAGACAGGCUCAAGGUCCUCCUGUCUGGCAUCAAAAUAGCCCCUCCAUCAUUAGGGCAGCCUGACCAGUGUGGGACUGUCUCCUAUGCUUUGAUGCAGGCUUUUUUUUUUUAAAUCAACUUUUCCAGGGAAAUCAAUAUCAACUUGAUCUUGAGCACAUCCCAGACUGCUCUAAGGCUCCCUUUCCUUCUCAGUAAAAUGAGGCUUGUCACCCUCCUGCCACCUUCUCCCUUGUGGGGUUAGCUGUGGAGUUGUGAUGAGGCUGGUGCUUUGUCAUCCCCCUAUGGAAAUGAUGAGCACACUGGAGUUCCAGCCGACUUCAUGGGUGCUCACCUCUCAACAAUCAGAUCAGUCAAGCUUUCAGCUUUCCAAGGUCCCAUUUGUGUGCAGGCCAUGAUGCUUUGGGAGAAAAUCCUUUUCAGUAUCUCUUCUCUGAUCAUCAAGAAAUACAGGGUCAGUAAAUACGAGGUCAUGGAAUUGGGGGGAUACCAAAAAUUCAGGGCCCCCAGAAAGUUUCACAUGGAGUAUUUGAGCAGGGAUCAGAAAGAAACGAGAUUUUAAGAAGCAGAGGUCAGGAGGGAUGGCCCAGAGUGGGAGAUGAAUUAUUGGGUGAGGAUCUACAGAAAAGCCAGUUAGACUGGAUUGUGUGAAGGGAGUCAUGUAUACAAUAAUUCUGUAUAAAUGUAUAAGAAACUAAAGACGAUUGAAUGGAUCCUAGAUUGAAGGAGGAGGACAUUAGAGGCAGACAUUGCAAUAGUCCAGGUAGGAGGUGAUGGGGGCUAAACAGGGAUGGUGAUUCUAGGUGUGGAGAGAAAGUGAUGGGCAUGGGACAUUGUGGAAGCCGAAGCAGAAGUCCUGACAAGAGAAUCGCUAUGGGGGUGGAGGGUCUUGAAGAGUUAAGGAUGACACCAAAGUUGUUGACCUUUAUCACUGGGAUGACAGUGGUGAGGAGGAGAAGAAUUUUUUUUUUAAUUUCUUUUUUUUGAGGAAGAUAAUUCAGGGGUAGCACCAAUGAAGUCAAAGUCACAAAAGAUAAAAUUUUGGACAUAUUUUGCCUGUUUUGGACAUGUUGAGUUUGAGAUGCCCAGCUCAAAAUCCGUGACCUCUCAUCUCAUGAAAAAUUGCAUUAAAGAAUCUGAACUUGGGCCAAGUGGAGGUGGGGGGGUAUAAGGAAGUGGGUAGUUAUAGGGGAAGAAUAGGAUCCAUUUCUUUCAAAUAAACCAAACUGCAGUGCUGCUUUUAAAAAAAUGAAUGUAACAGAAUUUGAGGAAGAGGAAAACAACUUACCAAUUAUAACUUUAAAUGGACUAAACUCAACCACAAAAUGGAAGAGAGGCUAGAUGAUGAGACAGAACCCCAUAAUUUUCUGCAUAGAAGAAACUUAUUUGAAACAUAAACAUAUAGAGUUAAAUUGAAGGGCUGCAAUAAAUUUAUUAUGUUUUGAUUGAAUCAAAAGUGCAGGAGUUAAAACCAUGAUUUCAAGUAAGACUAAAUAGAUCAAAAUAGAUGCUCUCAAGAGAAACAAAAGGAAAACACAUUAUGCUUUAAAUAGAUUCAGAGACAGAAUUAAAGAACAAGCCACAGAGAUAAUUUUUAAAAGUAAAUUAAAGGGGAUUAGAAAAAUGAAACAACAUAGUAAAUAUAAAUCUAUGUGCAUAGAAUGGUGUAGCAUUUUAGUUCUUUGGGAAAACCCUAAAAUAUAAUGAUAUUUUGAUAGGAAGAAAAUGAUUUCAAAAUUCUCAGGACUUUCUAAGUUUAAAAAGAAAGAUAGAAAUCAUAUAACAUUGAAAUAUAGAAUAUAACAGUGAAAAAAAGAUAGUUUUGAUAUGAUUCUGGUAAUUAUUGAAUGGUUAUAUUAAAGAGCAUACUUAUGCCAUACCUAUGAAAACAGUGAAUGCUUGGGCAUAAAUAACUCAUAAUUAUGUGUAAAAUGGAGAAAUAUUAAGAGCUUUCUUAAUAGACAUGCAAUAAAAAUAGUCACCAGGGAAGGGAAUAUGAAUAAAAGAUAUAUUCCUAAAUGGAGAUAAUUUUAUCCCAAUAUUCAAUAUGUGGAAUGAUAGAGCCUAGAAAGAAAAUUGUGGAGCUCAAUCCCAAUAAAGGAAAAACUGAUGUGAAAAUGUUCAGUAAAAAUAUGGCCCAGGACAUUAAAGCAAUCUAUAGAAAUAUUCAGUGACCAAUUUGAUAAUACUGGGGGCAAGAAUGAAUUGUUUCUGUAUUCUACUUUCACUUUAUACAAUUGACCUAAAAAAAUCUAUUUUAAAGCAAACAUACUUUUUGUCAAAGUGUAUUUCCACAAUGAUCAACUUGGAAAGUCUUGGUUCUUCUCAACAGUUCAGUGAUCCAAGGCAAUUUCAAUAAACUUUGGAUAGAAUAUGCC
rnacentral:lncRNA from 1 species